rnacentral:lncRNA from 1 species
GGCGUGAUGACCGAUAGUGUCUUUUCUGCCUUGUCCUUGUUUCUCGGCUGUAUUUCCGGAACUGGAGCAAGAGUCAGUGUUGAGAGAAUGUUUUGCAAGAUGACUUUUGGCUGGAUGGGAGGAAAUCAAUGGCUUAAUUGGCAGAGAAGAAGAUAUGGGGUCUGCCAUGGCUUGGACAUUUGACCCCUCCAAAUCUCAUGUUGAAAUUUGAUCCCCAGCGUUGGAUGUGGGGCCUAAUGGGAGAAGUCUGGGUCAUGGGAGUGGAUCUCUCAUGAGCAGCUUGGUGUCAUCUUUGAGGUAAUGAGUAAAGUUUUGCUCUUUUAGUUCCCAUAAGAGCUGGUUGUUAACAAGAACCUGGCACCACCCCUCUCUCUUGCUCCCUCUCUCCCCAUGCGAUCUCCACACACACUGGCUCCUCUUCCCCUUCCUCCACGAUUGGAAGCCUUCUGAAGCCCUUACCAGACGCUGAUGCCAGCACCAUGCUUCUUUUCCAGCCUGUAGAAUUGUGAGCCAAAUAAACCUCUUUUUCUUUAUAAAUUACCCAGGCUCAGAUAUUCCUUUAUAACAACACAAAUGACCUAAAACAGGAUCCUUGGGGAUGGUGUCCUUCAGCUCCCUCCUGGGGUGAUGGCCCCUAUGCCUCUGAUUCCUAGCUACCUUGCUGGUCUUUUGGCCAACAGUCUGUGGCUAGAGAACUCAUGGUCUGUCUCAUGCCCACAGGGAUCCGUAGCUGACCUCCUGUGACUGACCAGCCUUCCAUUAGCUCUGCCUGACUGCAGACCCUCCAGCCCUGACAAGUCCUCCAGCAGCCCAUUGGCCUGAGCACCCACUCCUGCCUCUGCUAAGGUAUCACCCCUUCCCACUUAGCAGGCCCUGAGGCAGUUCUUGACUCAGAGCUGGAGAGGCAGAGGACCCAUGAGGAGCCUGAGAAAAUUAUACCUCAGGGCUUCCCCUCCCUAGCCACAGUGAUGCAGCUGAGACCCUGGCACAAGUAUGUGAGUACAAGUAGUUUAUUUGGGAGGUGAUGCUGGAAAAUGUGGUAGGGAAUAAGGAAGUGAACAGGGAAAGGAGACGCCAUUAGAGCUUAUAUUAUCAAGCAAAUUGCUACUGUGAGCACCUGGAACUUAAUUCCAUCCCCACUCCUCCUGGGAGGACUCUGGGAAACCAUACAGAACAUGCCUCAGAUUUGUGGGCAUGUUAAUAACUCAUAAAGUUAACUAUGAAUGUUAAAUGGAAUUUGCAUGCAAAGCAAUUAGCACAG